ensembl:lncRNA
AUGUUUUUCGCGACGCGGAUCCUGUGUUCUGCCUUUCACCCAGGACAACGGAAUGGAUCCCAUGCAGCGACCCAAAAAAACGAGUCUGAAAAAGAGGGAAACGAGGCGGUCUUCUGGUCAGACUCCGGAGACGGGCACAUCGUGCACCACUCCCUAGCAUUCUUCUCGCCAAUGUCCAGUCUCUUGACAACAAGGUUGAUGAAAUCCGAGCAAGGGGAGCAUUCCAGAGGGACAUCAGAGACUGUAACGUUCUUUGCUUCACGGCUCACUGGAGAGACGCUAUCGGAGGCGGUGAAGCCAGCGGGUUUCUCCACGCAUCGCGCCGACAGAAACAAACAUCUUUCUGGUAAGAAGAGGGGCGGGGGCGUAUGCCUUAUGGCUAACGAGACAUGGUGUGAUGAAAGAAACAUACAGGAACUCAAAUCCUUCUGUUCACCUGAUUUAGAAUUCCUCACAAUCAAAUGUAGACCGCAUUAUCUACCAAGAGAAUUCUCUUCGAUUAUAAUCACAGCCGUAUAUAUUCCCCCCCAAGCAGACACAUCGAUGGCUCUGAACGAACUUUAUUUGACUCUUUGCAAACUGGAAUCCAUUUAUCCGGAGGCUGCAUUCAUUGUAGCUGGGGAUUUUAACAAAGCUAAUCUGAAAACAAGACUCCCUAAAUUUUAUCAGCAUAUCGAUUGCGCAACCAGGGGUGGAAAAACCUUGGAUCAUUGUUACUCUAACUUCCGCGACGCAUAUAAGGCCCUGCCCCGCCCUCCUUUCGGAAAAGCUGACCACGACUCCAUUUUGUUGAUCCUUGCCUACAGACAGAAACUAAAACAAGAGGCUCCCACGCUGAGGUCUGUCCAACGCUGGGCCGAACAAGCUGACUCCACACUCCAAGACUGCUUCCAUCACGUGGACUGGGACAUGUUUCGUAUUGCGUCAGAUAACAAUAUUGACGAAUACGCUGAUUCGGUGUGCGAGUUCAUUAGAACGUGCGUUGAAGAUGGCGUUCCCAUAGCAAUGAUUAAAACAUUCCCUAACCAGAAACCGUGGAUUGAUGGCAGCAUUCGCGUGAAACUUAAAGCGCGAACCACUGCUUUUAAUCAGGGCAAGGGGACUGGUAACAUGACCGAAUACAAACAGUGCAGCUAUUCCCUCCGCAAGGCUAUCAAACAAGCUAAGCGUCAGUACAGAGACAAAGUAGAAUCUCAAUUCAACGGCUCAGACACAAGAGGCAUGUGGCAGGGUCUACAGUCAAUCACGAACUACAAGAAGAAAUCCAGCCCAGUCACGGACCAGGAUGUCCUGCUCCCAGGCAGACUAAAUAACUUUUUUGCCCGCUUUGAGGACAAUACAGUGCCACUGACACGGCCUGCAACGAAAACAUGCGGACUCUCCUUCACUGCAGCCGAGGUGAGUAAGACAUUUAAACGUGUUAACCCUCGCAAGGCUGCAGGCCCAGACGGCAUCCCCAGCCGCGCCCUCAGAGCAUGCGCAGUAGUUUUGGAAUUGUUAGUUAGAUUACUUGUUGGUUAUUACUGCAUUGUCGGAACUAGAAGCACAAGCAUUUCGCUACACUCGCAUUAA